rnacentral:rRNA from 1 species
UACGUAGGUCCCAAGCGUUGUCCGGAUUUAUUGGGCGUAAAGCGAGCGCAGGUGGUCUAUUAAGUCUGGUGUAAAAGGCAAUGGCUCAACCAUUGUAUGCAUUGGAAACUGGUAGACUUGAGUGCAGGAGAGGAGAGUGGAAUUCCAUGUGUAGCGGUGAAAUGCGUAGAUAUAUGGAGGAACACCGGUGGCGAAAGCGGCUCUCUGGCCUGUAACUGACACUGAGGCUCGAAAGCGUGAGGAGCAAACAGG